CCUCUCCCACCUUUGGGUGGGUUGUGUAUAGUUGUUUUUGGUUGGAGCUUCAUGGUUAAGGGUGCAUGUUUGAAACUGCUAUGUUAGGUCGGUGUUCUGUGAUCUGUGGGAAAGGGAUGUCUCAGGGAUGUUCACGGAGUUGCUCUUGUAACUCUCGUUCUCUUGAAACCUACAAGGCCAGAGCUUACCCUCCUUCCAUGUUUUCGGUGACCAUGGUCUGCAUUCGUUUUUUGCAUGACCUGCUAGCAUAAAUCAUUCUCUGAUCUGGG
rnacentral:misc_RNA from 1 species